GGCUGAUCACUGAUCGGUGCACCUGAACUACGAAAGACGCUGUGGCCGGUGUGGGAAUGAGGUGAGAAUGGUGCAAACUUUAAGUGUAUGGACGGCGUCAUCCAACAAACGGAAAGCGCUGUCAGGCCACAGCCCACGGUUUUUGAAGUGAUGAGAUAUUAAAAAGCUAAAUGUACUGCAGCAUUCAAGAGGGAAAAAAAAUGAUCUGCAAUCCACCAACCGGUACACAUGAAGGAACUGAAUUUACUACUGUAAUAUCCAAGGUGUAGAAAUGGAGAUCCCUUCUGAAGUAAAACCAUGAGCUCUCAUUAACUAAGGCAACAGGAAAGGCAGCGGUUCUUAACGGAUAUCAAGAAAAGAAGAAAAAUCGAUUCAAAUAAAAGCAGCGCGCGCGCGCCUAAAGCUGAAGCGCAGGAGUGAAGUUUCCAUCCGCAGGCCUGAUUCAUGAAUUGAGUGUCACUUGUGUCACAAGGCGAGGCGGGCGGGUGUGACUGCGCAGAAGCUCAAACCACGGAAUAUUGAAUGAGUGAAAAAAAUUAGCAGUAAUUUGACACGCCGACUACAUAUUCCACAAAACCACCUCAAGAACGGGCUGCCUAAAAAUAAAUUUUAAUUACGGUGAAGGGAACAAAACUAUUUCAAAAAUUUGCUUGGGCGGUCAAAGCAGCUUUUAGACUCCUGCCACAUCUUCGCGCUUUACUGACAGCUGCCGAGAUGGACGUGACUGGUCACACGGUUCCACUUUCUACAUCUCCACUUAAAGCUGUGGUCUUCUCCUAAUGUUUUUGUCCUCACUCUGAAAUGGUGUUUGUGAUGGACUAAUACCAUUUCCUGGACUGGUUCCUGCCUUCACUAGUAUUCAUGAGAAAGGAUCCAGCUCCUUGACCCAGAAUUAGAUUAAGCAGGGUGCCAUCUUUGAUGUCCAGGAGAAAAUACAGUAGUAUCUAUACAAGAAGAAGAGUCAUGAUAUUCUCAAAUGGCUGACUUUUGAUUUCACUGUUUUAUAACUUUUGGGGCUAGCUGUUUGUAGAAGUUUGCUAAGUUUGAAGAAGACUAUACAGUAUGCUAUUGGUGAAACCUUGAAUGAACACAUGGGAAAAACGUAUGCCCAGUUUUGAAAAUAUCUCUCAGGAAGAUAUGGAUCCAUUAAAUGAAUCAAAACUGAAUCUGGAAACAGCGACCAUAUUCAAAUCAUACUUGUAUUUCCUUAACAAUGGGUGAAGAGUCUUGAGCAGCCUAUCAAAUAUGUUUAAGAGGAUUUUUAUAAAGAAAAAUUGGACAUAUAUUUGGCUUCAAGUACAGUCUGAUUCCACUUCCUGGUACAGCUCAGAAUCCUGUUUCAUAUAUACUGUAUGGAUAUAAAGUAUAACUGUGCAGCAACUAUUUAAACAAUAUUGUUGCUGUUGUUCAUCAGAAACAGACAUUAUAGGAUAAAAUAAGGAUUAUGGAGACUUGAAACGGGAAGACACUUGGUUUAGAAGUUUCGAAAUGGUGACUUCCAGAUAAUUAUGUAAACUGGCAUUGCUGAAAUACUUGACAUAUAGAAGGAGUCAUCAUCAAAUCAAAUUUGGAAAACGAAUUCCCUGUGGAUGAUCAUGCUUCCCAGUUUCUAAAUUUGCUGCGUUCCUGGAUCCCAUAUUUCUUAUAUCACCACCAGGAUGAUAGGCACAGCCGAUCUUGGAACAGUUAACCAUAACAUCAUCAGCACAUCUACAAGAGUAAAAACUGACAGAUGAAGCAUACACCCACUCAACUAUCUACCAUAUAAUAUCUUUCUCAUGUGUAGACAUUGUUCUCUCCUUUGUUAAUUUGGUUUAUUGAAAUAACAACUUGUUGAAGUUCCUCAUUUUCUUUUAAACUCUACUCUAUUUUGUAUAUAUAUAUAUAUAUAUUUAUGUAUGUAUUUAUUUAUGUUUGUAACACAGUAGGAAAGGUUUGAGGUAACAUUGUGACUAACUACAUUAAAUAAACUAAAAUGAGGAUUUAGCUUGCUUUUAUCACUAACUGAUGUGCUUGUCAGUAAACAACACUACCAAUGCAGUUAUCUUGUCUUCUGGAUUUGUGCCCAUAAUAUUGAUACUAGACUAGUGGGUCCCUGAAUUUGUAUACAUGGUCAUGUGGCCAAUAUUAUAACUCUUUGUCUAUUUAAGUUUAAAACUGAAAUUUUGAUGAAUUCUUUAAAAUUACUUCAGAAGGAAGCACUAAUUUAUACUCAAACAGCCUUAAGAUAUCUCACACAUGCUAGAUCAUGCCUUCCUGUUUUUAAAUGCAGGCUACAUUUCCAAAUGUCUGUUGCUCAAGAAGCAAAUUAUUUCCAUAAAUGCUAUUUGGGUAUUUCUAGAAAUAAAGUGUGUUGGGUUUUGUUGCAUUGUA